UUCCCUGGUUGGACUAAGUCUCCUAAGACAUAUCCAAGGCCAUGUGAAUCCCAAGAUGCACCAUCCCAAUUGGACAGCGGGUAGACUGCAUUCCACCAUGGGAGAUGGAGCCCAGCCCAGAGCAGAGAUGAGGACAUUAGAAAUCUUAACUACAAUAUUCAGAGGCAAUGUGCCACAACAUGGAAAGACAGUAUAGUGUCUGCAUCAAUGGCCAUCUCAACGCACACAGCAAUUUAAGCCACAAAUGAAUUGGAAGAAAGACCUCAUUGAGAACAUGGACCUUCAAGUGAUCUUAGCUGAAAAGAAAACAGAUCGGGGUGGCCAUCCUGUGGCUCCAGAGCUGCAUGUGGCUCUUCAGAAGUUAAUAUGCGUCUCCUUGUAUAGACACCGACUCCAGGGCUGGAGCUACAGG